rnacentral:rRNA from 1 species
AGAUUGAACGCUGGCGGCAUGCCUAACACAUGCAAGUCGAACGGGAGUAGCAAUACUCUAGUGGCGGACGGGUGAGGAAUACGUAGGAAUUUGCCCUUAAGUGGGGGAUAACCCGGGGAAACCCGGAUUAAUACCGCAUGACCUCGAAAGAGCAAAGUGGGGGAUCGCAAGACCUCACGCUUUUGGAGAAGCCUACGUCGGAUUAGCUAGUUGGUGAGGUAAUGGCUCACCAAGGCGACGAUCCGUAACUGGUCUGAGAGGAUGAUCAGUCACACCGGACUGAGACACGGUCCGGACUCCGUACGGAGGCAGCGAGGUGGGAAUAGUUGGACAAGUGGGCACAAGCCUGACUCCGAGCAAUCGACCGCGUUGGUGGUAGAAGGAA